rnacentral:rRNA from 1 species
UACGGGGGGAGCAAGCGUUGUUCGGAUUUACUGGGCGUAAAGGGCGCGUAGGCGGCCAGCGCAAGUCAGUUGUGAAAUCUCCGGGCUUAACUCGGAACGGCCAACUGAUACUGCGCGGCUAGAGUGCGGAAGGGGCAACUGGAAUUCUCGGUGUAGCGGUGAAAUGCGUAGAUAUCGAGAGGAACACCUGCGGCGAAGGCGGGUUGCUGGGCCGACACUGACGCUGAUGCGCGAAAGCCAGGGGAGCGAACGGG